rnacentral:rRNA from 1 species
UACGUAGGGUGCAAGCGUUGUCCGGAAUUAUUGGGCGUAAAGGGCUCGUAGGCGGUCCGUCACGUCGGGAGUGAAAACUCGGGGCUCAACCCCGAGCCUGCAGUCGAUACGGGCAGGCUAGAGUCCGGCAGGGGAGACUGGAAUUCCUGGUGUAGCGGUGAAAUGCGCAGAUAUCAGGAAGAACACCCGUGGCGAAGGCGGCUCUCUGGGACGGUACUGACGCUGAGACGCGAAAGCGUGGGGAGCGAACAGG